GGAAUCCAAAUGUUAGACAUGGUUAUAAAAAAGCCAGCACAACAACGCCAGUUGGGAUUUUUAUAGCCAGAAGCUCAACAACAUGGAGCUUUUUCUUCUCUGCAUGUUCCUGCCACUAUUCACAGUGGCAUGGGGCCAAUACGGGGACUUUUAUCAUUCCUAUGAUGACUACAGGGGUAAUGAUGACUGGGUUAAUGUGUACCGGCAGGGUUUCAGCUUCCAGUGCCCUCAUGGGCAAGUGAUAGUGGCUGUGAGGAGCACAUUCAGCAAGAAAGAAGGGUCUGACAGAUUGUGGAACUAUGCCUGCAUGCCUACCCCAGAUACGCUUGGAGAGCUUUCUGAAUGUUGGUGGGAAGAGAUCAACAGAGCUGGACUGCAAUGGUAUCAAACAUGUUCAAAUAAUGGGUUGGUGGCAGGAUUCCAAAGCCAAUAUUUUCCAUCUGUGCUUGAUCGAGAGUGGCAGUUUUAUUGUUGCCGGUACAGUCGGAGAUGUCCAUACUCAUGUUGGAUGACAUCAGAACAUCCAGAACACUAUGGAGAAGAUAUGGACAUGAUGAUGUACACCUACGAUCAUUAUAUCCGCGGAGCAACCACAACUUUCUCUGGCGUAGAAAGAGAUCGUCAGUGGAAAUUUAUUGUCUGCAGGAUGACGGAUUUUGAUUGUCAAUUUCAAAAUGCUUAGAAGUACUGAAUAUAUACUACAUUCUAGAGUGUGGGUGGGAAAUAAAGAAAAGGGUGAAAAGAAAAAAAGCUAGGAAAGUUAAUUUAGCAAUAAUGCACCAACCUCUUUGCAGGGGUUUGACUCUUGUACUCAAAAAGGCUGGUAAGUACAAUAUUGAGUUCAACUUUAAUUUCUGCAGGUGAAUUCAUACAGCUCUUAAUUAGAGAUAGAUAUGCUGCCUCCAUUCUCAUAAUCUCUGCAGAGCCUGUGUGCAGAGUACUUGAAUUUCCAUUGCUUUCCAGCCCAUUCACAUGCCUGGUCAGUUGCAGCUGCAGGAUUAGGAUUAGUAUGGGAGUAUGCAUGGCCAGUCUCUCUUCCCAUAAUAGCGGAGCUUUUACCCUAUAUUGGUCACUUCUCACAUAUGUCACUACUAUGAACUGGGCGAAGGGGUAGUUGCUGGGUGGGGGGUGAUCUUUAGUAAAACUGCAGAUCAUUCUCCUGAUAUAUUUUUUUAACAGUUAAAUGCUUACUCAUUUAAACUUGGAUGAAGUUACUUCCUUUAUCUUGGAUGAAGUUACUUCCUUGUUAUCUAGCUCCUCUGUACAAUUCAGCUUGGUUUUGCAUAGCAAUUUUACAUACACUCCACCCUCUUACCUGCAAAAGAGCAACCCACCCACCCCAAUUUGUGCUUUGCUGAUACUUAUUCACACUACUCUACUGCUGAGAUUAGCAAAAAACUUUGCAAACACAUAUCAAUAUUAUAUCAUAUUCAUGUUAAUAGCAAGGCUGGUUGGCAGCAGUCACCUCUAAGAUUGUUCACUUACUUUGUUAAUUGUUUGGGUGUUUAGACUUCAAGUGGAAUAGAUUUAAGUACAUUCUGAAGGCCAUAAUAUCUCCAUGUUAAAUGGUAUCAGAUUACUUUUGUUAAAUGUUAUGUAUCAGUGUUGCUUCUCUUGUAAUUAGGGGCCAUAAUGAAUGCUAGAAUACCAGAUUUCUAAAGUCUCAUGGAAAAGAGCAAUGGCAAUCGUAUGACCGUGUAUAAAAAUUGAUUAUAUACCAGUGGCUUUUGCACUGUAGCUCAAAUGUGGGAUAUAAUUUUAUUGAACAGUAUUUAAGGUUUGACUAUGAAGCCAGUCACAAAGAAGAAUAACUACAAAAGGCACUUACUUAAGAAUCAAAUAUCAACAAAUAAACUGCAAUUUAUUCUAAAUGCCUGUAUCAUUCAAGUAUAUUAUGAAUUAUUAUAAUUAAAUGAAGAAAUAAAAUUA